AUUGAACGCUGGCGGCAUGCCUUACACAUGCAAGUCGAACGGCAGCACGGGAGCAAUCCUGGUGGCGAGUGGCGAACGGGCGAGUAAAGUAUCGGAACGUGCCCAGUCGUGGGGGAUAACGUAGCGAAAGUUACGCUAAUACCGCAUACGAUCUAUGGAUGAAAGCGGGGGAUCGCAAGACCUCGCGCGAUUGGAGCGGUCGAUAUCAGAUUAGGUAGUUGGUGGGGUAAGGGCUCACCAAGCCGACGAUCUGUAGCUGGUCUGAGAGGACGACCAGCCACACUGGGACUGAGCCACGGCACAGACUCCUACGGGAGGCAGCAGUGGGGAAUUUGGGACAAUGGGCGCAAGCCUGAUCCAGCCAUGCCGCGUGCAGGAUGAAGGCCUUCGGGUUGUAAACUGCUUUUGUACGGAACGAAAAGGUUUGACUUAAUACGUUGGACUCAUGACGGUACCGUAAGAAUAAGCACCGGCUAACUACGUGCCAGCCGCCGCGGUAA
rnacentral:rRNA from 1 species